UUCUUCCAGUCAGAGAAUGUUAAAUAUAAUUUAACUUUUGCUUGAUGCAUAAAGUUAAAAGAUAAAAGACUAAUAAAGCAAGUUUUAAAAAGAGACUUUUUAAUUUGAUUACAUUUUAUAUGAUUAUGCAGAAAAAGUAGCAUUGGGCUGAAAGAUCUAUCGCUUUAUUACCUAUUUAGGUAAUUACUUUUGAAAAUAAGUAAUCAGUAAGGUGACAGGAUUACUUUUGGGGGGGGCGGGGGAAGUAAUUAGUAAUUAGUUACUGAUUACUUUUUUCAAGUAACUUGACAAACACUGCUCCCUGGAUAUCCAAACCGACAUCAUGACCAGCAGCUUUUACAGCUGUGGCUCCAGCAAACAUCAGCUGAUACUAGAAAGUAAUAUUAAAUAAAUUCUAACAACAGCUGAUCAAGCUUAAACGUGCUGCUGUUGCUUGUCCGCUGGUUUCCUCUUUCUGGCGCAAAUUGGGCGAUGAAAAAACAAGAGAGAAUGUAAAAAACAAAAAUAAAAAAUCAUCGGCCCAUAAAACGAAAAAUCACCAUUGGCCCAUUUAUGGCCACCAUAUAUACAAAACUCCAAAGCAGAAAGACGUAACAGCAAAUAUUCUGAAAUGAGAGGGAGCAAAACAGACGGGCAAAGGCUGAGAGGACAAACACCGACUACUAAGGAAAUCUAAAAAACUGUGAAAUUAACAUUAAAAAAAAAAGAUGAUGUAACCUGAAAGGGGAUCGAGACCAAACUCAGGCAACAGAGACCAGAGGAAAGACAUGGAAAAUCAAAACACAGUGGAGCAGAACAACAAUACCCCAAACUGAGAAUUACAACAGCAAACCACCACAAUAACAAAGACUGUGGCAAACAUCCAAAGACCGGUUGUACAAAGAAGGCUUAGCAAGGUAACCCUGGGUUUUCAAAGGUAUGAAGUUUGUUCACUUCUUACUGGGUUGCAUCUCCAUAGUAACUUAUUGUGAGCUGCAUGCAUAGCAUGCUCCAGAGCAGGCUAUGUUUGAGAGAAGAGGUAAAAGCCACCAUGUAUAACCAAUCAGUUCACUGGAAAUAGUGUCAGAACUUCUGAAAGACUCCUCC
ensembl:lncRNA